rnacentral:rRNA from 1 species
GACGUAGGGCGCGAGCGUUUGUCCGGAUUUAUUGGGCGUAAAGAGCUCGUAGGCGGCUUGUCGCGUCGACUGUGAAAUCCCGAGGCUCAACUUCGGGCUUGCAGUCGAUACGGGCAGGUUAGAGUUCGGUAGGGGAGACUGGAAUUCCUGGUGUAGCGGUGAAAUGCGCAGAUAUCAGGAGGAACACCGGUGGCGAAGGCGGAUCUCUGGGCCAUUACUGACGCUGAGGAGCGAAAGCGUGGGGAGCGAACAGG